GCACAAUCAACACCGCGCUCCGACGAUGUCCAGACCUCCAGAAAUCACGUGUCUAGCUUGGAUUGCCCACAACAAGUGCAAUUUUCAAAACAGUUUCUCUCCUCUUUUCCCCAUAUUGCCACACUAGGGAUUCUGACUUCUGGCUCCUUUCCUCAAAAGGAGCCUAUCCAGCCAGUCCUCCUAUGGGACCUUGGCCCCAGAGGCCACCAAUUCCUGUUUCAAGUUUUCUCAUGGUCUCUCUGACUUGACUCUUUUGUAUUUCUUUCGUGUCAGCAAACAUCGGUUGAGCACCUGUUGUGGGUUAGGCACUGAGCUACAGGUAAGGGUUGGUUAAAGGAUACAUAAGACAUCUUCCUUGCCCUUAGUAGCUCACAGUCCAGUGGAAGAGACAGUCAGGUAACCAGGCAACCACAAUAUACGAAGUGAUGGCUCUAAGACAGGUGCUGUUGAUGAAAGUGCUAAAGCAGCUGGAUGUGACUGACGUCUUUGGGAAGGACGAGACAAAGUGCCCACGGAGUUGCUGUGUCCCAGUGCUGUUCUUUCCUCCUGAUGGAAAGAACACUUCUCACACCAGAUGUGUGGGAUUUUCCACACCAAGCAAUUCUCCAAUUCUCGGCAAACACUGACUGAGGAUCCUACAAGUUAACUCCGUUCUGACACUAACUGCCCAGGGCUAGCACAGAUCCCCCAGGUCAAAGUUGGAACAAGUAGAGGGAAUUCAGUUUUCCUUACUCAACGGUAUUCAUCAUUCUUACAGUCAGCGUGCUCACGAAGAAUGCAAACCUCUUACGUUUCUAAAAGAGUCUUAGGACUGACUUAGAUUUACCCAGCAUCAUGACCCAUGUACCAUUUUUGGCCAAGAAGAUGAGAGGCACUGAAUGCCUAUAUCAGCAUCACAUUCCCAUUGCUGAAACCUGAGGAUGACUUCAGCUCUAUCAGACCUCAAACCUCAUAGAAGUGCAGGAGAGGUGGUUCAACAAAGAACAUUGGGAUGCCAUAACCAGAAGAAGGAAUAGGGUGCUGGCCAUGCAGAAAUAGCAGCCAUUUCACUGGAGGAAAUUCCCAGCACCACCUGGAGCAUCAAACUCCUCUGUAACACCACUGAUUGGGACUGAGCUUUGACUUGUACACUCCUUGUGUUGAUGUA